GCGGUCGUAGCUCAAUGGACAGAGCAGCUGACUACGAAUCAGGAGGUUGGGAGUUCGAGUCUCCCCGACCGCG
rnacentral:tRNA from 1 species